ACAUUAUUAACAUUAUCUUUCUUCUUUCUAAGGAAAGACAGUGGACAUCAUGCUGCUAAGCCUCACAUUGCUUUGCCUUCUAAUUUUCCUUGGAGGUUUGCUGAUAUGUACGUGUAGAAGGUAUAGAUGCCUGGAAGUUAUAACCAUGCCUGUUCCACAUCCUACAGAUAAUAUCAUAACUUGGUUAGCUGCAGAUGAGACUCACCACCAGAAACAAAUUUCAAUGCAAAUGGAAAUGCACUCAGAGGUUGUUCUGGGAAUACUAGAAGAGAAUGGAGACAACAUUCACCAAAAGGGACAUUUGAAGGAUUUUGAAUUAGAAGACCUGUAGGAGUGAUAUACCUUCUUUAUUUACAUGCAAGAGUUAACUUUCUGUUAGCUGGAUGAUAUUCUGACUGACUUAAGAAAGGUUGAUAUUGGAGUUUGUCUGACACAAAUAGUCUAUUACAUUGUGCAACUCUUAAAAUGAGCUCAAAAAACACUGCCUUGUAAUUUAUCUCUAACUACUACUGAUCUUCAGCCCAGUAAAAUUACAGCAGCCGAAACAGUAUGAUUGAAUAUUGGAGUCCACUUGGGUCAAGACAGAAUCAGAAUUUCUCUCCUAUAAUGCUGCAAUAGUUUCCAAAUAAUGUCCAAUAAACUACUGCCUUUGGACGGGUUCUUCAUACAAAUUCCAUGCCAACUAUUCAAUGUCUGAUUGCAGAUAUAAGAAAUGAUGGAAACAACACACAUUUCUGGAAACAGCAGCAGAAGCUCACAAUGGUUCUUUAAAGUUCCAAAAAUAAUUUUCUGAGGUACUACAUUGUACGAGUAGACAUUAACUAGAAACAGUCAUGUGAGAUGACAUAAGGUUUUUAAAUGUGAUGGACUUAAUCCUUUGUAGUUAACAAAAGCAGAAAAUCUUUGACAAGGUAAAGAAAACAAUAUUGUUGAUGUAUUAUAACUGUUUGAAUAAAUAUAACUCAGAGAAUUACAAGUUCAGAAC
rnacentral:lncRNA from 1 species